GAUGAACGCUAGCGGCAGGCUUAACACAUGCAAGUCGAGGGGCAGCAUUGGUACUUGUAUCAGAUGGCGACCGGCGCACGGGUGCGUAACGCGUAUAGAACCUACCUUUUACUGGAGAAUAGCCCAGAGAAAUUUGGAUUAAUGCUCCAUAGUAUUAUGAAUUGGCAUCGAUUUAUAAUUAAAGAUUUAUUGGUAAGAGAUGGCUAUGCGUUCUAUUAGCUAGUUGGUUUGGUAACGGCAUACCAAGGCUACGAUAGAUAGGGGUCCUGAGAGGGAGAUCCCCCACACUGGUACUGAGACACGGACCAG
rnacentral:rRNA from 1 species